rnacentral:rRNA from 1 species
UACGAAGGGGGCUAGCGUUGCUCGGAAUCACUGGGCGUAAAGGGCGCGUAGGCGGGUCUUUAAGUCAGGGGUGAAAUCCUGGAGCUCAACUCCAGAACUGCCUUUGAUACUGAGGAUCUUGAGUUCGGGAGAGGUGAGUGGAACUGCGAGUGUAGAGGUGAAAUUCGUAGAUAUUCGCAAGAACCCCAGUGGCGAAGGCGGCUCACUGGCCCGAUACUGACGCUGAGGCGCGAAAGCGUGGGGAGCAAACAGG